UUCUCAGUUCAGAUUGCAGGCUGCAACCCGCCUGCAUGAAGUCGGAAUUGCUAGUAAUCGCGGAUCAGCAUGCCGCGGUGAAUACGUUCCCGGGCCUUGUACACACCGCCCGUCACACCAUGGGAGCCGGUAAUACCCGAAGUCAGUAGUCCAACCUCGUGAGGACGCUGCCGAAGGUAGGAUUGGCGACUGGGGUGAAGUCGUAACAAGGUAUC
rnacentral:rRNA from 1 species